GAGAAAGAAGCACGAUGGCCGUGCGGCUGGCUUGAAACCAGCAGUAGGGGGUUCGAUUCUUCCCUUUCUUG
rnacentral:tRNA from 1 species